AUUUAGGUUGUUAACAAUAACUUAAAAUAUUCAUCUUGGCCAAAAAAAUUUAAUUAAACCGCGAAUCGCGAGGUUUUUUUGCAACUUUCAAGGUGCAUUAACUCAGCAACAAAAGGUCAACGUUAUUCGGCAUCAGAAGUGGCAGAUGAAGCAUAUUUUGGAGAUACCACAAUCAGAGUGGCAAAAGUGUUUCGAAAAUUGGUUUAAACGCAAACCUCGUAAGACCAUCAUUAAUGGCCAUCGUGUCUGUAUUGGAGGAUGUGAAUGUGGUUCACCUUUGGUUCCAAAAAGACGGCGCUACAUCCCAUACAGCCAUCGAUACAUCAAUACAUUUAUUGAAGGAAAUAUUUGAUAAUCGGGAGACAAUUGACGCCUUGGAAGAGAAUAUUCGACGCGUUAUUUCUGACAUACGGCUCCUAUUUGUAAGAAAAGUGGUCGCAAAUUGAGUUUCCCGGCUGGAAUUUAUACAUUUUCCCGAAAUCUUUUUAAAACAUAAUGGCAAG